UACGGAGGGAGCUAGCGUUGUUCGGAUAUACUGGGCGUAAAGCGCACGUAGGCGGCGUGGUAAGUCAGGGGUGAAAUCCCGGAGCUCAACUCCGGAACUGCCUUUGAAACUGCCGCGCUAGAAUCUUGGAGAGGCGAGUGGAAUUCCGAGUGUAGAGGUGAAAUUCGUAGAUAUUCGGAAGAACACCAGUGGCGAAGGCGACUCGCUGGACAAGUAUUGACGCUGAGGUGCGAAAGCGUGGGGAGCGAACAGG
rnacentral:rRNA from 1 species